GUCCUUUCCAACAGGUUUC
rnacentral:miRNA from 1 species